UGCGUAGGCGGAAUAUUAAGUCAGUGGUGAAAUCCUGCAGCUUAACUGUAGAACUGUUAUUGAUACUGGUUUUCUUGAAUAUAGUUGAGGUAGGCGGAAUGUGUAAUGUAGCGGUGAAAUGCUUAGAUAUUACACAGAACACCGAUUGCGAAGGCAGCUUACUAAGCUAUGAUUGACGCUGAGGUACGAAAGCGUGGGGAGCGAACAGGAUUAGAUACCCUGGUAGUC
rnacentral:rRNA from 1 species